ACACUAACUGCUGGUUCCCAAGGGGUAAAUUACUCUUAAAGAAAAAAAACAUAAGGAAUCCUAGAUAGUUUUCUCUUCAAGUCAAGCAUCUUGU
rnacentral:pre_miRNA from 1 species